AGCAGCCGCGGUAAUUCCAGCUCCAAUAGCGUAUAUUAAAGUUGUUGCAGUUAAAAAGCUCGUAGUUGAAUUUCGGGGUCAGUAGGUUGGUCGUGCCACUGGUAUGUACUGGCCUCACUGAUUCCUCCUUCUUGUAGAACCGUAAUGCCAUUAAUUUGGUGUUGCGGGGAAACAGGACUGUUACUUUGAAAAAAUUAGAGUGUUUAAAGCAGGCUAACGCUUGAAUACAUUAGCAUGGAAUAAUGAAAUAGGACGUUCGAUCCUAUUUUGUUGGUUUCUAGGAUUGACGUAAUGAUUAAUAGGGAUAGUUGGGGGCAUUAGUAUUCAAUUGUCAGAGGUGAAAUUCUUGGAUUUAUUGAAGACUAACUACUGCGAAAGCAUUUGCCAAGGAUGUUUUCAUUAAUCAAGAACGAAAGUUAGGGGAUCGAAGACGAUCAGAUACCGUCGUAGUCUUAACCAUAAACUAUGCCGACUAGGGAUCGGAUGAUGUUAAUUUUUUAAUUGACUCAUUCGGCGCCUU
rnacentral:rRNA from 1 species